rnacentral:rRNA from 1 species
GGGGUGUAGCAAUACAUUCGCUGGCGACCGGCAAACGGGUGCGGAACACGUACGCAAUCUACCCAAAACUGAUGAAUAGCCCUCCGAAAGGAGGAUUAAUACAUCGUAACAUAAUGAAGUGGCAUCGCUUUAUUAUUAUAGCUCCGGCGGUUUUGGAUGAGCGUGCGCCUGAUUAGGUAGUUGGCGGGGUAACGGCCCACCAAGCCUACGAUCAGUAACUGGCGUGAGAGCACGACCAGUCACACGGGCACUGAGACACGGGCCCGACUCCUACGGGAGGCAGCAGUAAGGAAUAUUGGUCAAUGGACGCAAGUCUGAACCAGCCAUGCCGCGUGAAGGAUGAAGGUCCUCUGGAUUGUAAACUUCUUUUAUAUGGGAAGAAAUCCCGGAAUUCUUUCUGGGUUGACGGUACCAUAGGAAUAAGCACCGGCUAACUCCGUGCCAGCAGCCGCGGUAAUAUGGAGGGUGCAAGCGUUAUCCGGAUUCACUGGGUUUAAAGGGUGCGUAGGAGGGCAGGUAAGUCAGUGGUGAAAUCUCCAAGCUUAACUUGGAAACUGCCGUUGAUACUAUCUGUCUUGAAUACCGUGGAGAUGAGCGGAAUAUGUCAUGUAGCGGUGAAAUGCUUAGAUAUGACAUAGAACACCAAUUGCGAAGGCAGCUCGUUACACGAAUAUUGACUCUGAGGCACGAAAGCGUGGGGAUCAAACAGGAUUAGAUACCCUGGUAGUCCACGCCCUAAACGAUGGAUACUCGACAUACGCGAUACACAGUGUGUGUCUGAGCGAAAGCAUUAAGUAUCCCACCUGGGAAGUACGACCGCAAGGUUGAAACUC